rnacentral:rRNA from 1 species
AACGCGAAGAACCUUACCAGCUUUUGACAUCCCGGUCGCGGGCACCAGAGAUGGAGCCCUUCAGUUCGGCUGGACCGGAGACAGGUGCUGCAUGGCUGUCGUCAGCUCGUGUCGUGAGAUGUUGGGUUAAGUCCCGCAACGAGCGCAACCCUCGCCCUUAGUUGCCAUCAUUCAGUUGGGCACUCUAAGGGGACUGCCGGUGAUAAGCCGGAGGAAGGUGGGGAUGACGUCAAGUCCUCAUGGCCCUUACAGGCUGGGCUACACACGUGCUACAAUGGCGGUGACAGAGGGACGCAAAGGAGCAAUCCUUCGCAAAUCUCAAAAAGCCGUCUCAGUUCGGAUUGUGCUCUGCAACUCGAGCACAUGAAGUUGGAAUCGCUAGUAAUCGCAGAUCAGCACGCUGCGGUGAAUACGUUCCCGGGCCUUGUA